UACGGAGGAUGCGAGCGUUAUCCGGAUUUAUUGGGUUUAAAGGGUGCGCAGGCGGCACGGCAAGCUGGCGGUCAAAUCGCGGGGCUCAACCCCGCCCAGCCGUCGGAACUGCCGGGCUAGAGUGGGCGAGAAGUGCGCGGAAUGCGUGGUGUAGCGGUGAAAUGCAUAGAUAUCACGCAGAACUCCGAUUGCGAAGGCAGCGCACCGGCGCCCUACUGACGCUCAGGCACGAAAGCGUGGGUAUCGAACAGG
rnacentral:rRNA from 1 species